ensembl:lncRNA
AAAAAAAAAAAGUUCAAAAUCAGGCUUCUAAAAUCCAUUCAGCUGGCUUAAAACCAGUGAGAUCAGCAAGAAAUGCUCGAUUUUGCCUCCUGCCCUUGCAGUACUUGCAGUCAUAGUGCCCACUUUUAGCUGUAAGCAUGGGGACCUGAGUCACGCACAGCUGUUCUCAGGGCAAAGAUCUUUGAGCAGAAGCAGCCACUGGCAGCCAGCUCCUCUGCUGCCAUCCCCUUCUCCAAGCAGUGGGCGUGUGCUCCAAGGUGAAACUUGCUCUACUUAUGUUAAACUGAUAGCACAAGUAGCAAAGUCUUUUCCCUUUUGGUUUAAAUGAAUCCUUGCCACUUAAGUUCAUGUUUAUUUUUAUAGUAUGGACUCUAUGUCGUUUAUUGCUCCCAAAGGGACUCCAAAUACCAUGAUGGUUAUGAGUGAACCUGGGAAUAUACUUCCGAAUUACUUGUGAUUUAUCCUGCUUCUGUUGCACAUAAUAAUGCAGCUCUUCCAAAGCCUGUUCAAGGCUUUUAAUUAUUAAUUUCUGUACUUUGUGUGGCACCAUGUGACAGUUAUUGCUGCUAUGGGCGGGAAUUACUGUGCCUGUGCUAGCUGGUAACAGCACCAUCAUUGGGAAUUUUACAUUUCAGGCUAAACACUGAGUAGCUUUGGGAUGGUUUGAACUUGUCCGCAUCGAUGACAAAAGUGUCAUAUAAAUGCAGACCCUCUGCAGCACCGAUGCACCAAGGAGAGCAGGGCUGGAAGGGAGGGAUGAGGCCAAAAGGAGCCAUGAAGACCUGCAGUGGGAAGUAGGGCUGUGCCUAUGCUGCUGGGCAAAUCAACCUGCAGCUCAGGGAGCCAAUGCCACUGUUACUGGCACAGUUACUCAUACUCAGAGACACCUGUUUAAUAACUACAGGCUAUAGCCCAGACCUGGAAAUGGAAGAUGUCAAUCCUUGAUUCCAUAGACCUGAAGUUUUACAUGCUAGCUGAAACAUCAAAGGAUACCCCCACUUGCAAGCUGCUUCCACCCUGUACACACCCAGCAUCAAAAGAGGGUGUUUCCCUGUGUGUACCUCGGUCCUGCCAUGCUCACAUUUUACCUCAGCCUUCUCCCACAAGCACAAUCCCUGCUCUCACAGCCAAUGGCUUUGUUUCUGCAGCAGGCUCAGCAGUAGGUGUGGAUGUGACUGUCCCCUCAUCACUAUGCACAGGGCCCAUUGCCCUGCACCCUCCCAGAUGCACCUGUCUGUGGGACAGAGACACCUCCAGCUGUGGUGCUGCUCUGUUCUGCUGCAGGUCCCAGUGAACAGGUCCAGAUCCUCCUUGCUUGCAGCACACCUUCCAGAUUGCCUCAGACUUCAAUGUUACCUCUUAUUAAAGAUAAUAAAAGAGAAGAAAAAAAAAUGGGAUUCUACAUAGAAUCAAAUGUUCAGUUUCUGGUGCUAGCAGACAACCAACUCUAAUCCUAUGUAACUCUCUGAAAAAGUCAGCAGAUGCAAAUGGGUGAGAACAUGUUGAUUUCAGCAGCCCAAUGCUCUGGUGGGGGAAGACUCUGGAACUUCUGAGGAUGUUUUACAUUGGCACCCCAGUAAACACCUGUGCUGCUGAGCAGCAAAGGACACUCAUGCUCCUGCUGCAGUCUGCACUGCACUCUGAGUUUACACAUUGUCUACACUGUGACUCAGUGCAGAGCCCCACUGCAAACAGAGGACCCAUGUGGCUGCUCGCUGCAGGGCUUCGCGCCCUCCUGCACCAUGGACAGCCUGGACUGCUUCCAGCAUGGAGCUCUGGUACUUCUCAUCAGCAGCAAAAUACUCACUGAAGUUUGCAAAUACAGUUUUUGUCUCUGCCAACCUCAUCCCCCUUCACCUGGCAAAAGUCUAUUGCCAGCACAGGCUGCUCAGCACCAAAGCAUUUGACAACAUGUGGGUAGGGGACACCCUGUGUGCACACUGCCCAGGAAGAGUUUUCACUCCGUAUUUGAGCCACUGCUGUAAGGGCUGGGAGGGAUGGCAGGAGUUCAUGCUCAGGAGGCUGCAGGGCUUACACCAUAGUGAUGGUACAUCAGGGCUGAUGUAACUUGUGGGACUCCUCAACCGGAAUCCCAAAGCAAGUGAAUGCAAAGCUCAGCUAAAAUGCCUCUCGGAAAGCAAGGAGCACCAUUUGAGCAGGAAACACCGGCUAAACACUGCAGGACUCAGACAUGACUGAGAAGGAAACUGAGUGAAUGGAAACAUACAUCCAGGAGACAAAGGUGUGGAAAUACCUUUGGUUUCAAAAAGCCAUUCUCUGGGUGCUGCUCCCUGUGGUUUGGGACCCUGCAGUCCCCACAGCCUGAGCAGGGGCAGCUGUGCGUGUCGGAGUGAAGGCUACAGCCAGUGUGCGGGGCCAUUCCAGGGCAAAGCCAACAGGGCCUAAACCUGAGGGAACCAAGUCUGAGGAACGCUGCUGCUGUGCUGAACGCUGCUGGUGAAACACUCGGUUGUGUGUUCUUUUCAGGAAUGUGAUUCGCAGAGGCCGCCUUCAAGCAAUGCGAACCCAUGGAACACACAGCAAUGAAAAGCCGGCAAAAGUUUCACAGCGCCACACAACCGCUGCCAUCAGGAAUGCGCUCCGACGGCGCUGCGCUCCCCGGGUGCGGCGCGGUGAAGCGCUGUGCCCCAGCAGCUCCUGGGGACGCGACGCAUUAACGUUACCUCGAAACAGCUGUUCAAAUGCUGCAGGACACGCCGCGG